UUUUGCAGUGUGACUCCAUUGAAUGUUCUUGUGUGAUAAAGAAAGUCUCUAUUUUUGUGUGUGGUGUUUGUGAUGUAGAUUAAACAUGACCGGGCCAAAACGGAUAUGGCAGCAGCUCAAAAUCAAAUACAAGAACAUUCUGCAGAAUGCAGUGAAAAAGAAUACCCAGAGACAAGGCACGGGUGGUGGGUCACCAAAAGCUGACCUCACCCCAGCAGAUGCCAGCUUUGGAGCUAAAUAAAGGCAGGCCGGUUGAAGGGGAUCCCUGGGGGAAAAGAGACAAGCAUAUGUCCCUCCCAAGAUGCCACCCGCUUCAAACAAGUGUCUGGCAGCACUGUGUUACUGUUAAAGCCACCAGCACGAGCACCAGACGAUGCUGAUCCAGUGAGUACUCCAUCAAAGGCAUACUGUACUCUCUCUGGAUUCCAGAAGGCAUAAGGACCCAGUGUCACUGGUGCACUGGACUGCACACACAUAAGGAUAAAAGCCCCCUCAGGUGCCCAUGAGGCAGAUUUUGUAAAUAUGAAAUCUUUUCACAGCAUUAAUGUUCAGAUGAACAUAACUUUUUGAUCUUUUCCAUUGAACACUGGCAAAAUGGGCUGGCUCAGUCCAUGACUCCAGA